rnacentral:lncRNA from 1 species
GGGAGCCAUGGACUCUAGAGGCGACAGUUUGCUACAAGCUUUGUUUCCCCAGCUCCCAGCAUUCCCAGCACUGUGGCCAAUUGUUACGUCCCAAGUGGAAAGAUUUGAAAGUACUUCAAACCUUACACCAACGCCAUGAAGUGGAAAUAAAUGCCUAGCGCCAUACAAGUAUAAUUUUGCCCUUGGAUUUGUAACUUAGAAAUUAUCCGGUCCAGUGCUUCGCAAACUGAGAGCCCCAAGCCAUCAAUAGAACAAUGACAGAGACCGACUGGAAAUGGAGAUCUGCGAGCAUCCGCAUCUGUAUUGGUCAGGCUCUGGCAGAGCCUCUCAGGGGACAGCCAUACCAGGCUCCUGCUAACAAGAACUUCUUGGCAUCAGCAAUAGUGUCUGGGUUUGGUGUCUGCAUGUGGGAUGGAUCCCCAGGUGGGGCAGCCUCUGGAUGGCCUUUCCUUCAGUCUCUG